GCAGGCUAAACCCCCUCCGGAGCAAGGCCAAAUAGGAGUCCAGGCGCUGCUCGCGCCGCCAGAAGUCAAAGACUCGGGUAGGCUGCUUGAGCCUGCCGGCAACGGCAGGCCUAGACGAAUGGCUGUCCCUCGCGCAAGCGAAAGACAAAACCCGGCUUACAGGGCCGCUCAUCAG
rnacentral:RNase_P_RNA from 1 species